GGAGAGCGUACACAGGUGCUGCAUGGCUGUCGUCAGCUCGUGUCGUGAGAUGUAGGUUAAGUCCCGCAACGAGCGCAACCCCUCGCAUUCAGUUGCCAUCGGGUGGAAGCCGGGCACUCUGGAAGGACUGCCAUCGACAAGAUGGAGGAAGGUGGGGACGACGUCAGGUCAUCAUGGCCCUUAUGUCCAGGGCGACACACGUGCUACAAUGGCCGGCACAACGGGAAGCGAGUUCGCGAGGACGAGCGGAUCCCUUAAAGCCGGUCGCAGUUCGGAUUGAAGUCUGCAACUCGACUUCAUGAAGCCGGAAUCGCUAGUAAUCGCAGAUCAGCCAAGCUGCGGUGAAUACGUUCCCGGGCCUU
rnacentral:rRNA from 1 species